rnacentral:rRNA from 1 species
UGGGGAAUUUUGGACAAUGGGCGAAAGCCUGAUCCAGCCAUGCCGCGUGCAGGAUGAAGGCCUUCGGGUUGUAAACUGCUUUUGUACGGAACGAAAAGACUCCUUCUAAUAAAGGGGGUCCAUGACGGUACCGUAAGAAUAAGCACCGGCUAACUACGUGCCAGCAGCCGCGGUAAUACGUAGGGUGCAAGCGUUAAUCGGAAUUACUGGGCGUAAAGCGUGCGCAGGCGGUUAUAUAAGACAGAUGUGAAAUCCCCGGGCUCAACCUGGGAACUGCAUUUGUGACUGUAUAGCUAGAGUACGGUAGAGGGGGAUGGAAUUCCGCGUGUAGCAGUGAAAUGCGUAGAUAUGCGGAGGAACACCGAUGGCGAAGGCAAUCCCCUGGACCUGUACUGACGCUCAUGCACGAAAGCGUGGGGAGCAAACAGGAUUAGAUACCCCAGUAGUCCCUGAGCGGGCUGGCAAGGCGCAU